UUUGGCUUAUCUGUUUUUGGUCUGUGAGAUUCUGCCCAUCGGACCACCUUAAGGCGUUUAUUGGUCCGUAAUUAGAAUAAGUUGGCCAAAGCCCAAUCAGCACAAACCGUAUGACAAUGUCGCUGCGUCUCUUUCACGAUCUCCUACUUCAUCGUUUCAGCUUCCUUCAACGGAUCAAUCGACACACCGCUCCGUCUCUGAUCAAUGAAUCCUCUCAUGAUCUCAUUUAUGGUUUCUUCUCGCCUUCCUCCUUCUAAGGAAAAACCUCUGAGGUAUGUGGUAGGACUUCGUGUCCUGAGAUAUAUCAGGUAUAGUAGUGUGUUUGUCUUCUAGAUCGAGCCUCGGAUGACUGCAUCAGAUGUUUUUAUGCCGGAGAUCCUUAAGCUUCUUUGUAGCUUCUGUGGAAGGAUCUUACAGAGACCUGGUGAUGGGAAGCUUAGAUACAUUGGAGGUGAGAUUCAUAUCAUCUUCAUAUGAAAACAUGUUGUAUUAAACGAACUGAUGCACAAGACUAAUGAUCUGUGCAACCAUCCGUAUACAAUCAAGUAUCAGUUACCGGAGAAGAUAUUGAUGCGCUUAUAUCUGUUUGAUCGGAUGAGGAUCUUCUUCAUAUGGUUGAAGAGGAUCAAGAAGCUAAAAAAAGAACAAGAAUUGAUAAAUUAUGUUAUUCGAUUCACAUAGUUUUUUCUGCAAGAAUCUGGUUUUGGUUUUCUUCAAUUCAACAUUUGAUUUUAAUCAUUCAUGAUUGAUUGUUGAGAGUUGUAAAGGAGAGUAACUGAGUGUACAUACUUAGUCUUUAUGAAAAUAAAAAUCUUUUUGCUAAUAAAAACAAACUACAUCAUUUAAUCAUAUAGUCUUGAGUUUUGUAAACUUGC